rnacentral:lncRNA from 1 species
GCAGAAUUCUAGAAGAUAUAUUAUGCAUAUGCUCAUGCCUUCUUCUCUAUAUAGACAAUUUUUGGUCCAGAAUUAUUACAUCAAUUUCCCAGCACUGCAGAUACAACUCUGACCACUCCAAUUAUCUGUCUGCUCUACAAUACAGCAGUUGUAACUUCGAGCCAUCAUAAAGGAGUUUAUUAAUUUAGCUCCAACUGAGUGCCAACCAUUUCACUGUGGUGCAACAGAAAGCGAUCUGCCCACGGACGAAACCUUGCCUUGUUCUUCUCUUGGCUUUUCUAAAACAACUUCAUGAAAUUUGCAAGGAAGAACAGUGGCUCCAGUGCAGAAUCUGCAUGGAAGCUUCCCUAAAUCCCUGUGAGAACAAAGGAGUAUUUCAGGGAAAUUCCCAGGGAUUUCCUCAGCCAGCAGAAAUUGAUCUGGGAUGCAAAAGGAUUGAUUGCUUUGCCUGCAGAAAGAAUGGAAUUUCUCGAUGUUUGGAAUAGAUUCUGUCCUUCCCAAGUUCCCAUAACAGCAAAAUCACAGCAGCAGAGAGGGAAAGAAUUAUAAACCAAGGGCCAGACAAAAGAGGAGAAAGCAAGCUGCAGAGAGGUGAGCAGCUGAAUUAAGUCCUUAGAGUUUUACCAGUCACAGAUGACACUGUGCCUGAAGAUGUUGUGACACAUCCCAAGAUUUACCAUCUCCAGGUGUUCCCCCAGGAGCCUCAAAGCUCACCCAAGGCCCAGGUCAGUGCCCCAGGCUGCUCAGAUAACCCAGCACUGCUUCCCACAAUCAUCUCUGAGGUCUGGGUGGUCACAGAAUGCGACCUUGUCAUUUUGCUUGUAGGUUUGGGCUUACCUGAGCUCCCUUGAGGGGUUUGUGCUCUGAGGAGCUGCCCCAGCAGCGGUCACAGCCCAGCACUGCCCUCCCUGACCAUGUGAGUGGGACUGGGGCUGGUCCAGCUGCAGCUCCACCACAGGGUGAGUUCAAAUCACAAUAUGUGAGGAAGGAAAUAUAGAAAGGUCCCCUCACAGGUGGCUCUGUGGGGUGACUCUGUUCUCUCUGAGUCUGGGAGCUGCUCCUGUGGUGAAGUCAGAACAGUAAAGCACUGUGGCUAAUUUAUCACACCAGGAAAUUUCAGAGAAGGAUCCAGCUCGAUCCCUCUCUCCCUGUCAGGGUCAGGCCACUUCACUUCCCUCUCAGAUAUCCUUUAC